rnacentral:rRNA from 1 species
CCUACGGGAGGCAGCAGUGGGGAAUAUUGGUCAAUGGGCGCAAGCCUGACCCAGCAACGCCGCGUGAAGGAAGACGGCUUUCGGGUUUUUAACUUCUUUUUCGGGGGAAGAGCAGAAGACGGUACCCCUUGAAUAAGCCACGGCUAACUACGUGCCAGCAGCCGCGGUAAUACGGAGGGGGCAAGCGUUGUCCGGAUUUACUAGGUGUAAAGGGCGUGCAUCCGGAGAGACAAGUCAGAUGUGAAAUCCACGGGCUCAAACCGUGAACAGCAUUUGAAACUGUUUCCCUUGAGUGUAGGAGAGGUAAUCGGAAUUCCUUGUGUAGCGGUGAAAUGCGUAGAUAUAAGGAAGAACACCAGUGGCGAAGGCGGAUUACUGGACGAUAACUGACGGUGAGGCGCGAAAGCGUGGGGAGCAAACAGGAUUAGAUACCCCAGUAGUC